ACAGAGGGGGCAAGCGUUGUUCGGAAUUACUGGGCGUAAAGGGCGCGUAGGCGGCCUGCUAAGUCGAACGUGAAAUCCCUGGGCUCAACCCAGGAACUGCGUCCGAUACUGGUUGGCUUGAAUCCGGGAGAGGGAUGUGGAAUUCCAGGUGUAGCGGUGAAAUGCGUAGAUAUGCGGAGGAACACCGAUGGCGAAGGCAAUCCCCUGGGCCUGCACUGACGCUCAUGCACGAAAGCGUGGGGAGCAAACAGGA
rnacentral:rRNA from 1 species